GCAGAGGCAAAGCGUGGGUGUGAGCUGCAGGGGCAGGCUGCUUUUCCUCAAAAUGAGAAAACGGCAGCACAGGGAAACAAUUUGCUCCACUGGGAAGAGGGGAAAAGGUCACAGAAAGGCAAGUUGACCAGAAGACCCCUCACAGCGUCCCCUUAUCACCACCUCCUCUGUCUCUAGGGAAGGCGUGGGGGCUGGUGGUGCAUUGGCUAGGUACAGGGGCAAUGGCCACAGCUGGGACCACUGUGGAAGCCCCCAUACUGAAGACCCACUGCCUGAUCUCAUCAUUUUACAUCACUCUGUGACCUAUGACUUUGACCCUCUCUCCUAACUGGCCUGGCCUGGUGGGAGCAGUAGCCACUUAUUUAGGUCUAAGGACUCCAGGCUCUAGGGCUUUGCAGAUGCAGGCAGAUUUGGGGCCUGAGCAGAGGCAGGAAUGAACUUGGAACACAACCCUCAGAAGUUCUGAGGUAGUCCUGGCCAUGGGGUCCAUGCAAGGACUACAUCCCACAGCUUUCUGCUUUCCACUCUGCCAUCAGUGCCCACACAUGGUUCAGGAGGUGGAGAUCAUGAGAUGGCACCUGGGUCCACGCACUCGGCUCUAGUUCUGCUCAAGGCUUGUGGUAUUGCUCAUGGAAACAGAGGAUGCUGGAAGCAAAGGGCUGGUUUUGCCGCAGAACCACAGCAUCUGUGGGCGAGUAUGGGGGUUCAGGCCAUGUCCAACCAGCUGGCCCCUGCAGCAGGACCUCCACAGCCUCCAGCCUCUGGGGACUUUAGGACCUAAUGGAGACUUUUAUUGGCACAGCUCUAAGUUGUUCAGCUCAGUCUCUUUCAGCAAUUCCCGAAUUGCAGCCUGUGUGUAAUGAAAACCACCAGCAAAAUUAAAAGCAAUGUGUCCUCUACUCAUAAUUAUUUUUUAAAAUAAAAUUUCAGAAACUAAUUAUCGAAAUUUUAUAAGCUGCAUCUGCCUCAAAUUCCAGUUAAGCCUAGUAGCCCUGCUCUGUUUUAUACAUCAACACCCAAAUUAUUUGUUGCUAUUUAAAACGUAACUUUCUCAUAUUUUUAAGGUUUUACUUGUAAUUUUUAUUACACUCAUACAUGUAAAAUUCUUAAAUGGCUAAGAACAGGUACUACACUUGAUCUUAGCCAAAAGGGCAAGAAUCACUGCAUGCAAAGCUUUUAAGAGCCCAGCAUUACUGCCUGGUUUGUGGUGAAAGCAGCUUCUUUAUUCCACCCUCAGUCCCUGCGGCUGUCACUGUGUCUCUUGGUGUUUCCCUCCUGUGAGUGAACAACAUGCUUGUGUUUCAUGUUGUUUAUUUUGGGGCUCAUCUAUUGAUUUCCUUCAAUGAUGGAGGAGGACUUAACCUUUCUGCUAAGCACAUGCAUGCACCCACACUCUCUGCAUCCUCUUCUCCUCCAGUGUGAUAGCCACACUCUGUGAUGACCUCCAUAUUCCAGGUUGCCAUCCUGUGAUCACGCAGAGCUUAUUCUCAGCUGAGCUGUGUAAUUGUAAAAUGAUUAAAUUUUCCUUCAUGCACUCCCUGUUUCCUCUGGGGUUGGGAGCUGUUGCAUUUUAGUUGUUAUUUCCUUAGACUUCUAGGAAGGGACCACUGUUCUAGCCGCGCACUUCCUAACAGAAAUAAGAAAGACCCUUGCAUGAUCAGGCACAUCGACGGUCCAGCCAUGGCGUCCCUGAGGCCCCCACUGCCUCAGCUCCCAAGGCUCUGGCCACAUCUCCCUGUGUCUCCCUGCUCCUCACCUUCAGGACUCCCUGAGAGACCCUGUGUGGGAGGAAUACUUUGAGACCUGCAAUGUCUGGAGACGUUGCCAUUCUCUCCUUGACCUUUUCUUUCUGGGACCAGGAUUCUAGUCUGCAAGUAACAUCUCUCAGAACUGAGGAGGCCUCGCUUCCCGCCCUGCAGACUCCGGUGUUCAGUAUGGAGGUCUCAGCCAUUCCAGUUCUGUCACGAGAGUGCUGGGGCCUGUUGCUCUGGCCCCUGGGCUGCUGGUGAACUCUGCUUGCAGUGUCUGGGCAAUGAGGAUGUGGAUGACACAGGUGUUUUUACUCUGUUCUUUCAUGCAUGUGCUGCUCUCUCAAUCUGGGCUCCUGUCUGCAGUUCUGGACCACUUGUUUAUUUCUUUGCUGAUCUCUCCUGUCUGACCUCUCUGGUCUCUCUUCUCAUUAAGUGGGUAUUGGAGUUUCUGGGUUCUCUAUUUCUUUUGUCAUUCCUCCCUAAUUCUUCAUCUGUGCAUCUUUUUAUUCUGUUUCUGGGAGAUGUAAAUGAGUCUAAUAUUCAACAUUUCUAUUAAAUUAUUUAUGUGUAUUGUA
rnacentral:lncRNA from 1 species